GACGAACGCUGGCGGCGUGCUUAACACAUGCAAGUCGAACGAUGAACCCGGAGCUUGCUCCGGUGGAUUAGUGGCGAACGGGUGAGUAACACGUGAGUAACCUGCCCUUGACUCUGGGAUAACUGCGGGAAACUGUAGCUAAUACCGGAUACGACCCUCGGCGGCAUCGCCAGGGGGUGGAAAGAAUUUCGGUCAAGGAUGGACUCGCGGCCUCUCAGCUAGGUGGUGAGGUAACGGCACAACAAGGCGACGACGGGUAGCCGGCCGUGAGCGGGGGAGCAGCCACACUGGGAGUGAGACGAGGCCCAGACUACUACGGGAGGCAGCAGUGGGGGAUAUUGCACAAUGGGCGCAAGCCUGAUGCAGCAACGCCGCGUGGGGGAUGACGGCCUUCGGGUUGUAAACCUCUUUUAGUAGCGAAGAAGCGAAAGUGACGGUACCUGCAGAAAAAGCACCGGCUAACUACGUGCCAGCCGCCGCGGUAA
rnacentral:rRNA from 1 species